UCAUGGCUCAGAACGAACGCUGGCGGCGUGCCUAACACAUGCAAGUCGAGCGCGAAUAGGGGCAACCCUUAGUAGAGCGGCGCACGGGUGCGUAACACGUGGAUAAUCUGCCUGGAUGCCUGGGAUAACCAGUCGAAAGAUUGGCUAAUACCGGAUAAGCCCACGGUCUCUUCGGAGACUGAGGGAAAAGGUGGCCUCUGUAUACAAGCUAUCACAACCAGAUGAGUCCGCGGCCCAUCAGCUAGUUGGCGGGGUAAUGGCCCACCAAGGCAACGACGGGUAGCUGGUCUGAGAGGACGAUCAGCCACACUGGAACUGAGACACGGUCCAGACUCCUACGGGAGGCAGCAGUGGGGAAUUUUGCGCAAUGGGCGAAAGCCUGACGCAGCAACGCCGCGUGUGUGAUGAAGGUCUUUGGAUUGUAAAGCACUUUCGACCGGGACGAAAACCCGAAGGCUAACAUCCUUCGGCUUGACGGUACCGGGAGAAGAAGCACCGGCUAACUCUGUGCCAGCAGCCGCGGUAAUACAGAGGGUGCAAGCGUUGUUCGGAAUUAUUGGGCGUAAAGCGCGUGUAGGCGGCUUUGCAAGUCGGGUGUGAAAGCCCUCAGCUCAACUGAGGAAGUGCGCCCGAAACUGCAGAGCUUGAGUGCCGGAGAGGGUGGCGGAAUUCCCCAAGUAGAGGUGAAAUUCGUAGAUAUGGGGAGGAACACCGGUGGCGAAGGCGGCCACCUGGACGGUAACUGACGCUGAGACGCGAAAGCGUGGGUAGCAAACAGGAUUAGAUACCCUGGUAGUCCACGCCUAAACGAUGAAACUAGUGUCGUGGGAGUUGACCCCCGCGGUGCCG
rnacentral:rRNA from 1 species